AUCAUUAUAUAAUGACCUUUGUCUCUUCUUACAGUUUUUGAUGUGAAAUGUACUUUAAGUAUAGCUACUUUUGUUCUUUUUUGGUUUCAGUUUGCACAAAAUAUCUUUUUCCAUCUUUAUUUUUCAUCCAUUUUUACUUUCAGUCCACAUGUCUUUAUAGGUAAAGUGAGUUUCUUGUGGAAAGCACAUAGUUGUGUCUUUCUUUAUUCAGUGACUUCAUGUCUUUUAACUGGAGAAUAUAGUCAAUUUAUAUUCAGUGUCAUUAUUGACAGGUAAGGACUUACUAAUGCCAGCUUGCUAGUUGUUUUCCAGUUAUUUUGUAAACCUUCUCUUUCUUUCUUACUGGCUUUGGGGAUAAAUGAUUUUCUCUGGCAGUAUGUUUUAAUUCAUUUUUUCUUUUUAGUGUAUCUGUUAGAUUUUUGCUUUGAGGUUAUAAUAAGGGUUGAAACAAACAUAUUAGAGUUAUAACAAGUUACUUUAAACUGAUGACAACUUUGAUUCCAAAGAAGAAAAGACAGAAGCAAAGAAAAAUUAAAAUACUCCACGGUUUAACUCCAUCCCCCUGGUUUUCGACUUUUUGCUGUGUCUAUAUAUCUUCUUAUAAUUCCUAUCUCUUAACAAACCUGUGUGGUUAUUAUUUCUUAUAGAUUUGCCUCUUAGUCUUUAUAAUAAGUGUAUGCAUGGUUUACACACUGCAAUGGCAGUAUUAGAUAAUUCUGUGUACUUUUACCAGUGACUUUUCUACUUUUAGGUGAUUUCUUGCUGCAUGAUAGCAUCCUUGUUUUCAGUUGGAAAACUCCCUUUAACAUUUCUUGUAAGACAGGUCUGGUGAUGAUUAAUUAAUUCCCUCAGGUUUUGUUCAUCUGGGAAAGUUUUUAUUUCUCCUUUGUGUUUGAAAAAUAGCUAUGCUGGGUACAGUUUCCUUAGUUGGAGCUUUUAUUUCCUUUAGCACUUUGGAUAUGUCAUUCCCAUUCCCCCCAGGUCUAUAAGGUUUCCUCUGAGAAGUCUAUUGCUAGACGUAUCAGACCUUAGAUGUUAUUUGCUUUUAUCUUGCUGCUUUUAGGAUCCUUUGUUUUUGACCUUUGGGAGUUGGUUAUAUGCCUUGGGAAAGUCUUAUAUGGAUUGUGUCUUCUUUGAUGUUCUGUGAACUUCUGGUACUUGGAUAUUAAUAAUUUUCUAUAGGUUUGGAAAGUACUGUGUUAUUAUUUAUUUGGAUAAAUUUUCUACCCUCAUCUCUGUAUCUACAUCCUCUUUAUGGACAAUAACUCUUAAAUUUGCCUUUUUGAGAAUUUUUUUUAGAUCUUGUAAGCAUACUUUAUUCUUUUUAAUUAUUUUUUAUUAUCUUCCUAUUUUUAAAUAGCUCAUCUUUGAGUUCACUAGUUCCUUAUUCUGCUUAAUUCUGUUGUUAAGACAGUGUUACAUUUUUUAGUUUAAUCUAUUGAAUUUUUCAGCUCCAGUAUUUUUUUAAAUGUCAAUGUCUUUGUUAAAUUUCUUAGAUAGAUUUAUGAAUUCCUUCUCUAUGUUAUCUUGAAGUUUGCCAAGCUGCCUCAAAAUGUUUAUUUUGAAUGCCCUAUCUGAGAGGUUGUAUAUCUCUGUCACUCCAGGGUUGUUCACUGGUGCCUUAUUUAGUCUGUUUGGUGAGGUAAUAUUUUCCUGGAUGUCCUUCAUGCUUAUGAACAUUUGUCCUUGUGUCGACAUUGAAGAGUUAGGUAUUUGAUCUAGUCUUCACAGUCUGACCUUGUUUGUUUGGGACUCAGUUUCCUCCUCCUUGGGUGAUGAAGUCUUGGGCCCAGGGCUUGUUUUAAUGGCAUCAACAGAAUUCUGCCCCAUGCUAUGUUCUGACUGUGACAGGGUGGGACUGAGUUCCAUGCCAAGUUCCAAACUCACUUUGCUCUGCCUCCUCCAAGCACAGAUUUUCUCUCUUGGCUGUACUGCUCGGAGUGGGGGUAGGGGUAGUGUAGGGAACAUGAGAGACUGUCCUUCCCACCUUCUUCAAUGUGUCCUUGUUAUUAUGCUAAACCCAGCUACUCUGAUCACUCACCUGAUAUUUUUGGUUCUUAUGAAGGUGCUUUUUGCAUGGAUAAUUGUUUGAUUUUAUGUUCCUGCAGAGGAUGAGGGAGGGAAUUUCUGAAGGGUUCUAGUUGGCCAUCUUGCUCCACCUCCUUCAGUAGGAGUCUUACCUUUGUAGCUUGGUCUUCCCAAUAAUUUUCUAUGGACUUUUAAUAAUUAUGUCAAAAAUUAAUUUACCAAAAUAAUUUUAAAGGAAUAACAUGACAAUUUUAAGUGAUAAUGCAUAUUCAACCUAAACUAAAUUAAGCCAAACUAAAAACUGGGAAAAAGUUAUUAAAAAAUUGCAUCUAGCAAUUUUCACAUGAUUUUAAUGAAAGCAAUAAAUUAUUUGAAAUAGAAAUCAUUACCAUUAAUAUUCCAUAUAGAUUAUUUAAACAACUUUUCUACAUAUGUUGAGAGGGAAAUAAAAAUUGAGACAAAAUUUUGUAGAUGAGAAAGAAAAAGACAACAUAAUUUCUAAGUAAUAUGCUUGGAUAAAUGCUAUUUUAAAAUGGCAGCUAGUAAUUUUAAUUUGACAUGAAUAUAAUGAAAAAUGCAACUAAGGUGAAUGAAAAAAUUGUAGGACUUCAUAUUGUCUUCAUCAUAUCAGGUAAUAGGUACCAAAAUGUCCCUCUAGAUUAAAAAAAAAUUAAACUGUCAAUAACUUGUAUUCAGCAUAGAUUUAUUUAAAUUACAUAUUUUAAUUUCUGUAAUCAUCAUUAACUCCUCUGAAAGAUGAUAUAAUUAAGAACCUCUAUUUCUCUUUUCUUCUGAGUUUGUUGCUUUUAUAAUAUUUAAUUUGUGAUGGUUUAUUAUAUAUCUGUUCUACUCUGCAAUAAUAAUUACUUCAGUUGUUUUAUCUUAGGUCAUACUUAAAUGAAGUAAGUGUUCAGCCACCUAUUAUAUAACCAUGGUUUCCUAAUUUCUCUAUUCUUUAUUAUGAUUUAUCUCUUCAUUGGUUGCAUUUAAUCUUCAAGUAGGGUUUGUUUAAGUUUCAUUGUUGUAAAAUCUCAUUAAACCUGUUAUUUAAUGUAUAGAAAUGCCUUUCUGUUGUAUUUACAACUGAAGAGCAAUUUGCUAUAUAUAAAACGGAGACUUUGUUACAUUGUUUCUGAAACUCAAUAUUUAUUCUGAGGCCAAUCAGAUUUCCCACUUGUUAUGUAACUUGCUUAUCUUGAUUUUCCCAGACUCAUCAAUUUCUGAAUGCUUUUAUUUUUGAAAUUUAAUAACUAAAUGUUUUAUAGUAUUAGCUUUUUAUUAACUUUUCUUGGCAUGUGCCGUAUUAACUGAAAUAUUUAGUCAUUCAUUUACUUUAGGUAAGUUUCCCUCUUUUAUAUCUCUCAUUAUUUUCUGUUCUAUUUGUUGGUGUCUUUACUUCAGCAGUAUCAAUAGCCCUAUGGUGGAUGCACUAUAGUUUAUAUACCUAUCGUCUAAUUAUUUAAACCUGUUGUCUGUUUAUUUUUAUUCACUAUAACUAAAUAAAUCAUUAUCUCCAUGAUGACUUCUGUUUCCUGCUGCUUCUAAUUUAUUUUAUCUAUACUGUUUGUUUUGUAUCAGUUUUUUCUUUUUCUUAUAUUGCUUUUCUCAUAAUUCUGAUCUUUUAUUACAUUAUUGUGUUUUCCUUGUUUUACUAAAUCUAUGUCCUUAUUGGAUUAUUCAAUAAAUGCAAAACACUAGCAAAGGAAUUUUAGUUCCUUGGAUUGUAUAUUCUUUCAAAUUGGAUUAUGUUUUAAAAUCAAUGCCUUUCUCCAUUUAUAUAUUAAUAUAUUUUUAUUUGGGGGCUGUAAUAUAUUUUCAUCACUCUCAAUUUUUUUCCUCUUGUACCUUUGUUAAUAUAUUUACUAGGAAAUGGUGUAUGUGGUUUCUCCUUGACAUCACUCUUACCUUAUCUGGGAUUAUUUAUCUUCCCCCCGUGUACUAGAAGGUACAGAGAACAGACAGAAGAGAGUGGGAAGCACAGCUGGGACUGAUUGCAGUCUUUGAGGAGGUCCUGGGUUUACUCUUCUUGCUGAGAUCCUACCAGAUGUUCUUCAUUGGACUCCAUUACACCAAGCUGGGCGUGAAUUCAAGUCUUUUGGGCUUUGGCUCACUUCCCUAAUUUAGCACUGUAUGCUGGAGCGAGAGAAUCUAUGGCCCUUCCUGCUUCUGCCAAGGUCCAGAUGUGAUUUGUAGAGCAUCCACUAAGUGUUUUAUCUUGAUUUUCCCAGACCCAUCAAUUCAUCCCUUCAGCCCACUCCUUUCAAGUUACAGAGCAUUCAGAUUCAGGAUUUGUGUCACUUCUUAUAUCCUCAGUGCCUCUUCUAGAGGUAGAAUAAGAGUUGGGAAUUCUGUUGACCUGGCCAUGACACCACAAUUUUCUGUUACUUCACUGGUCAUCAUUUUUGAGUUUAUAAUCCUUCCCCAUUUCUUCCUGCUGAUGGGAAAAUUGGCAGGGUUGUUUUUGUUUUGCUUUUGUUUAUUGGAGGAGGAAGAUUCUGUACCAUAACUUCAUAGCACCACCAGCCUGCAGAUAAAUAACUAUUUUCAAAUGUAUUUGUGAGAUAUGCACCUUAAGAGAUUAGAGCAAAAAUACUAAUGUUUAAAAAUAAGCAAGCAAGUGCAUGAAACACCUAACUUCAAUGGCUUGGACUAUCAAAUAUUAACACAUCAACAUUUAGUGUCCAUUUUGUACAAAAUACUAGGCCUGGUGCUAUAUAAGUAGGGACGGAAAAUGAAAAGAGGCAGAUAUGCUUAGACAAUUGUAUAAGGUAGAAUUAAUUACUUCCAAUAACAAAUCACAGACAAAAUGUAAAGGUGAGUUAAAGGGGGGAGACAGUAUAUCCAGUUAAGGGAAUAUCAAAAUGCAUAAUGAAAAACAUGACAUUUAUAAUGUAUUCCAAAGAUGGGAUGAGGGCAGGUACAUUUACAGAAAAGAAAGUAACAGGAUAAGCAUUAGAUAUGAAGGUAGAAGAGCAUAGAGUGUAGCUAGAAAAGAGUAAGCUAUAUAAUAUGCAAAUAAUUUUACACACAUUGGAGCAGUGAAAAAAGCUGAAAGUGGGGCAUGUAGAUGUAGUGUACUUAACUGAAUGUCGGAGUGACUUAACUCUAUAAGGUAACGGAGAAUAAAAACCACAAGUAGUUAAUAAGCAAGAGUACAACAUGAAUAGGCUAGUGAGGAUAAACAUUAAUCCGGCAGCAGGAUAGAGGUUGAAUCCUGGGAAAGCGGAAAAAAUGCUACACUGGGUGGCAUGAGAUUUAGUCUCUCGGUCCAGCUUUGCCACACUACCCAUACGUGUGAAAUUAAGUGAAUCAUUUGACCCCUUUUGGUCCCAUUGAGCUCUCUGUAAAGAUGGUGAACUUGGCUUCUAAUAAAUAUUUAUUAUUAUAUUAUUAAUAGCAUAGGUCUAUAUAUUAUAGUGAGGAAAACAUGGGAAAUACGGAAACUCUUUAGUAUAUAGCAUAAGUUUGGCAAAAAAUAAAUGGAAAAAUAAAUUACGAUUGAAGUGUUUACAGAAAAAAUAUUUUAUAUGCAAGGGAAUUUACAAAGGUAGAGUCAAGAAGUCAAAGAAAUUGUAUGAAAAGAUGACUGCAAGUUUCUGAUUUGGGCUUAUUAGGAGAAUACAGAUGACUUUCAGAAGAAGCGUGAACAUCAAGCUGAGGAGCUUUGUUGAAGAGCAGGAUCUUUCUGUCAACAUGGGAUAGUGGAAGAUUAAAGUAGUGAUGACUACAUAUAGAAAUACAAAGUUGACAGUGAGAGACGCCAAGUCUGAUACUGCAAGAGAAAAAUGUAAGAAACUUAGGACUCAACUUUAUCAAUGAGUUCGUUCAACUGUAGAAAUGCACUAGGGACUGAAUGGUGUCCCCCCAAAAUUUAUAUGUCAAAGCUCUAAUCCUCAAUAUGAUGAUCUCCAGAGAUGGAACUUUGGGGAGGUAACUGGGUUUAGAUGAGGUUAUAAGGAUGGAGUCCUCAUGAAGGGAUUAGUGCCCUUAUAAGGAAGGGCCAGAGAGUGCCCACUUGUUCACGUAUGCUCUUGUAUUCUCUCUCUCCUCAACCCCCACCAUAUGAGGACACAACAAGAAGAUGGUUGUCUACAAGCCAGGAAGAGAGCCUUCACAAGGAACCAAAUCAGCGGGCACCCUGAUCAUGAGACUCCCAGCCUCCAUAACUGUGAGAAAUAAAUGUCUGCUGUUGAAGCCAUCCAGUCCACAGUAUUUUGUUACAGCAGCCUGAGCAGAUUAAAAUAAAGAACUGUAACUUGUGAGACAGACAGAAAGUUGCAAGUGAUGAAAUCCUAACUCAAACAGGCUUAAGCAAAAGAGCUCACAUAACAAAGAUGUCUACAGUCCAAAAGUAAACUACUACAUGGGAGCUCCUGCUGCAAACCCUGCCGUCUGAGAAGAACACAAGCUGAGGGAAGGUUCACCUGAGAGACUGGCUCUGGAAACCAAGAAGGAGAGGGUGAAGGGGAGGGACAAAGAGCCCUUGGUAUAUUCUUCCCAUGCAGCCUCACUCAGCGUAGCCCCAUUUUGUCUGUUUUGUGUAUUACACUUCUCCGUUUUAGUUUCUUUAAAAAUAAAAUUAUGGAGAUAACAGGCAUUUGAAAAUAAUCAGUCUAAGAAAAAGGCUCAAAUCUUGGCAGCAAGAGCCCAAGAUCUACCACUAGUACAACCUGAAAUCAAGUACAUAAUAUCCCCAGCAUUCGUUUUCUUGUCUACAUGACAGGGUUGUUGAGACAAUAACACACGAUUAUUAUUAACUAAUAAUAUAAAACUAACAGGAGUAUGCCCUGUGGCCCAGACCCAAUCUCUCUCUCUCCAUGCAGUUGUCACUAGGCUCAUUUGAUUCCAUGACUUUGUUCACACUAAUAAGCCACUGGAUACAAGUCACACAUACCCUAAAGUGGUUAGUUAGAAAUCUUACGAUGUUUGUGCAAAAUUUGGCUUCAUCUGUUGAUGCUGCAUCGAUAUGAGUUUGCUGUUAAUACAAGUUUCAAGAAAGGAAAGGAAAGGAAAUGGAAGGGAAAAGAAAGGAAGGAAAGGGAAGAAAAAUAAAUUCUCACUAAACACGAAGCAAAAUUAUAUGACUUCUACAUCCUGUCUAGGAUACAGGUGCCCAUUUGGUCCACUCUUAUUCUCUCUUUUCCUCCACAGUUUCUUUCCUGGGUUACCUGGUAGUCUGCUGCUAUCCGUGUACUUUCCUCACAUUGACACUAGGCGUUUUCCUGGAUUCUUUCAUAGGUUCUUCGGAUGUGGAAGUGCAAUAUAAACAUAAAAGCCUUGUUUGUUAUAGCAGAAACUAUGGAUCCAACAGACUUUUCCAUUUGUUCCCAAAUUUUGCUCUGUAAGAACAAAAUAAAACAGAACCAAAAUGAAGCUAUUAUGCCUCAUGUAUGAUAUCCAUAUAUUCAAAUAAUUUUCAUUGAGGUAUAACAUGCAUAGAAAAAGAGUACAUAAAUCAUAAAUGUACAGCUUGAGAAAUUUUCACAAAAUAUAUCCUCUUGUGUAACCAGCACACAGGCCAAGAAGAUUACAAGUACCCAAUUACCCUCCCUAUACCACUCUCAGUCAUUACACUCCAAAGAGAGCUGAUAUACUGACUUCUAAUACCAUCAAUUUACUUUGCUGGUUUCUAAGGUUUGUAUACAUAGAAUCACAAUUUAUACUCAAAUGUAUCUGUUUUCUUUAAUUCAAUAUUGUAAGAUUCAUCCGUAUCAUUACUUACAGUAGUAGUUCAUUUUCAUUGCUAUGUGUAGCAUUUACUUGUAUAAAUAUAAGACAAUGUAUUCAUUUUACUUUAUUGAACAUUUUAGUUUUUCUAGAUUUUGCCUAUUUCACAGAGUGCUGUUACGAGGAUUCUUGAAUGUCUUUUGCUACAUCAUGCUUGCAGUGCUUUGGGGAAGGUACUUAAAGUGGAGUGCCUGGGUACACAGGUUUAACUAUGUACUCAAAUGCUUUCCAAAGGAAUUGGAAAUUAACAAGAUCAUUUAAAAUGUAUAUGUUAAUAUGUAGGGCCACAUACACCCAAGACAUUCUAGGAAAAACAAAACAAAACAAAACACCACUACCAUCAAAGUGGAAAGACACUGCCAAGUAUGACUUAUUAUGAAACUACACUAAUCAAGACAGUGUGGUACUGUUGCAAUAGUCAAAUAAUGGAAUAUAACAUGGAGUCAAGAACUAUCCUUCCUUCCUCCCUUCCUCCCUCUUUUCUUUUUCUUUCUUUCAUUCGUUCAUUCUUUCUUUCCUUCUUUCU